rnacentral:miRNA from 1 species
UACCCGUAUAAGUUUCUGCUGAG